GCCAAUAAGGUUAAACACGACCAUUUAUGGUGCAGUGCCUCAAUAUAUCCUGUGGGGUGUUAUAGUGACGAUUAUUUUAUGAAAGCGCCAGUUCAGAUGAACAACAUGAAGACAGUACUUGUGGCUGUCAUGAUAAUUAAAUGAGUCAGUACAAGAAGAACCGUAGAGGCUGGAGAGGAGGUCAUUCUGCACUGCAAUGAGAAACACCAUUUCAAGACUGAGUGGUUCGGGAACAGACCUGGCCAGACACCGUUCCUCAAAGUCAGCAUGAAAUCAGAGAAAGAGAAACCUGCAUUUACCUGGGGCCAUAAGUUAGGAAUCAAUGUAACAUGGAAUUCUAAUAACCAGAGCUUCAACCUGAACAUCACCAACAUGACUCCUUUUACAGAAGGCUUCUACUACUGCACCUCGGGAGAGGGAACUUCUACUGUUGCUGGAACUGUUCACUCGCUUGUGAUAAAAAAAACAGAACAAGCUGAGCAAACAACAGCAUCUCCUUUGAUCUGCUCAACAUCUCCUCCGU
rnacentral:lncRNA from 1 species